UAGGGCCAGCACAGUUCCCGUGUCCGCAAGUUGCACGCACUAUGUCCAAGUAACGAGGAAAACCUUUUGCAGCGCCUGCACCAUUUCAAGAGCUUCUCUACAUCAGGAAACAAUUCUCUUGUUGCGUCGAGCAUCGGACCCAAAAGAUCAAGAAAGUACCUGGAAAGCGCACAGCAGUCAUCCUAAUUCCAAGGUUGUGACAAUGAGAUGGACGGAGUUGACGCUUCAAUUCCUUGUUUUCCAUGUAUAGCGGAUUUCAAGACAUCAUAUUGGUCAUUCACGGACUUGUAUAGUGCCUGGGAAUAUGUCUCUUUAGCCUGAGAAAAGAACCGAUAAGAGAUUUGCCAAAA